rnacentral:rRNA from 1 species
UACGUAGGUGGCAAGCGUUGUCCGGAUUUACUGGGGCGUAAAGAGCGCGCAGGCGGUCGUUCAAGUCGCGUGUGAAAGCCCCCGGCUCAACUGGGGAGGGUCACGCGAUACUGAUCGACUCGAAGGCAGGAGAGGGAAGUGGAAUUCCCGGUGUAGUGGUGAAAUGCGUAGAUAUCGGGAGGAACACCAGUGGCGAAGGCGACUUCCUGGCCUGUUCUUGACGCUGAGGCGCGAAAGCUAGGGGAGCAAACGGGG